rnacentral:rRNA from 1 species
AUUGAACGCUGGCGGCAUGCCUUACACAUGCAAGUCGAACGGCAGCACGGGGCAACCUGGUGGCGAGUGGCGAACGGGUGAGUAAUGCAUCGGAACGUACCUUUCAGUGGGGGAUAACGUAGCGAAAGUUACGCUAAUACCGCAUAUUCUGUGAGCAGGAAAGCAGGGGAUCGCAAGACCUUGUGCUGAUUGAGCGGCCGAUGUCAGAUUAGGUAGUUGGUGGGGUAACGGCCUACCAAGCCUGCGAUCUGUAGCGGGUCUGAGAGGAUGAUCCGCCACACUGGGACUGAGACACGGCCCAGACUCCUACGGGAGGCAGCAGUGGGGAAUUUUGGACAAUGGGCGCAAGCCUGAUCCAGCCAUGCCGCGUGAGUGAAGAAGGCCUUCGGGUUGUAAAGCUCUUUCGGACGGAAAGAAAUCGCGCAGGCUAAUAUCCUGUGCGGAUGACGGUACCGUCAUAAGAAGCACCGGCUAACUACGUGCCAGCCGCCGCCGUAA